rnacentral:rRNA from 1 species
GACGAGGGGUCCUAGCGUUGUUCGGAAUCACUGGGCGUAAAGCGUUUGUAGGCGGCUCUAUAAGUCGGGUGUGAAAUCCCAUGGCUCAACCAUGGAAGUGCAUUCGAAACUGCAGAGCUUGAAUAUGGAAGAGGAGAGUAGAAUUCCUGGUGUAGUGGUGAAAUACGUAGAUAUCGGGAGGAACACCAGUGGCGAAGGCGGCUCUCUGGGCCCUACCUGACGCUGAGACGCGAAAGCGUGGGGAGCGAACCGG